CUCUGCGGCCAGCGGCUGCGCGGCGAGGAUGGAUCCCGGGCUGCGGGCAGUGGCCGGUGCCAGCGCCCGGUCUCCGCUUCUGGGCUGGCUUCCCCAGUCCCUGAGCUGUCCCUCUUGGCGCGACGCAGCGCCGCCCGCGUGUCUGCAGAUCCUUAAACCUGUGCCGGCUCUCCGUGACCUCGAGUCAACUUGCAGGCUCAGUGGGACCUCCCCCUGCUCUUCUACCCUGGCUUCUGCAGCAGCCAAACUGAGCCACUCGAGCGGCUUCAGAGCUUUAACGUCUGGUCUUUGGGAACCUUUUCCACUGUCUGUUCUCCCUCUACCCCCUUGUGCUCACCCUGGACCCUGUCGUCUCAGAAGCAUGAUGUAUGGGGACUACAUCACCUAACCUCUCAGAGGCGCCUGUUGUGCUGCAUCUUACAGACAGAAUCUCAUGGAAACUGGGUUCCUGCUGUCACACAGGCCAUUCCGCAGAUUUUGGAUCCCAGGAUGGAGGCCACACACAGCCUGAAACUGCUCAGGAAGUUUACUGCCAAGCACUGACUGUAUACUCUCCACAAGGGCUAAAUUUGUGCUGAAUUUUCUCUGUCACUGUAUCCCCGGCACCUAGGACAAUGCUGUGAAAGUCAGACCUAGGCAUUCAGUAAGUGUUCUCUCAGUGAAUGUUUUCCAUUUUAAACAGCAAUCUCCUUAAGUAUCUUCCUAAAAGAAAUGAAAACAUGUGCCUACACAAAGACUUGUAUAUGAAUGUUCCUAGUAGUAAUAUUCAUAAUGGCCCCAGAGUGGCAACAAUCCAAAUGUCCAUCACUGGUGAGUGGAUAAACAAAACAUGGCAUAUCCAUACAAUGGAAUACCAUUCAGCUAUAAAAAGGAAUGGAAUGGAAUACCAUUCAGCAUUCUACAACACAGAUAAACCACAAAGAUAUUAUGCUAAGUGAAAUAAGACAGACACAAAAGACUACUAUUACAUAUGUAUGAAAUUUCUAGAAAAGAAAAAAAACCAUAUAGAAGAAAGCAGAUCCACGGUUCCUUGGGCCUGGGGCGUGGGAGUGAGGAUUGCCUGUAUAUGGGAAAAAAGGACCUUUUGGAGGUGAUGGAAAUGUUCUAAAAUUGGAUUGUAAUGAUGGUUGCACAACUAUAUAAAUAUACUAAAAAUCAUCAAACCGUACAUUUGCAAUUGUGAACUGUAUGGUAUGUGAAUUAUGCCUCAAUAUAGCUGUUAAAAAUGUUUUUUAGGGGGACGCCUGAGUGGCUCAGCAGUUGAGCAUCUGCCUUCGACCCGGUUGUGAUCCUGGAGUUC